rnacentral:tRNA from 1 species
UCCCUCGAGCCGGAUUUGAACCAGCGACCUAAGGAUCACCGUUGUAACAUCUACAGUCCUCCGCUCUGGCAACUGAGCUAUCGAGGG